CUCUAUUCAUGGACCCAGGCCUUUGUUUAAGUCCCGGCUUGGUUGUGAAGACCAAGAACUGGCUGAACUGGUCUGGCAGCUCCAAGCCCUGCACACUUCCCGGGGGAGCACUCAGCCUUACUUUUGACCUGCUGGCACUGUGUGGCUAUCUUCUGCAGAUGUGAUGGUGAAGAAGCUGAGAGGUGAGAAGAGGCUAAGAAGAAAGCUGGAGGAUAAGGAAAAUAAGGGUCAUCAAGCUAUGAGUUCUGCCAUCUCUUGCUCCUGGCCAUUAGUGUUCUGGUUUAAAAAACACUACAUAGAGCACAGAGGAGGUGAGCCACUCCCAGUGCCCAGGAGGAGGCUUCUGGGCCUCCAUACCACCCCUCCCCCACAGUGCAGAGGAGGUGAGCAGCAGGGGUGCCAACAGGGAGACACCCCCUCCUCAUCGAAAUGAGAAGACACGUAAACAAGUCUCAAAACCAGACUUCCAGAUCAUCUAAAGCAACCCCAAAGGGAAACAAGAUGGAACACUCUGAUACUCAACCACCUGGACUCCCUGAACUGGCAACAAAAGAGGAUCUGGAAAAAAUGAAAUCAGAAAUAAUUUC
rnacentral:lncRNA from 1 species